UUCUUGAUCGAGUGGUAAGGACACUCUUUUCUCAUCCUGGAGUCCCGGGUUCGAUCCCCGGUUAAGGAG